UACAGAGGGUGCGAGCGUUAAUCGGAAUUACUGGGCGUAAAGCGUGCGUAGACGGUUUCGUAAGUCGGGUGUGAAAUCCCCGGGCUCAACCCGGGAACUGCGUCCGAUACUGGAAGGCUUGAAUCCGGGAGAGGGAUGCGGAAUUCCAGGUGUAGCGGUGAAAUGCGUAGAUAUCUGGAGGAACACCGGUGGCGAAGGCGGCAUCCUGGACCGACAUUGACGCUGAGGAGCGAAAGCCAGGGGAGCAAACGGG
rnacentral:rRNA from 1 species